UCCGCGUACUCAUGUACAAGUCCCUCGGAGGACAAAGCCUUCAUGGCUAUAACCUCCAUGUUAAUCACGACAAAAAAAAAAGUAGCGACACGCUUUUCCGGUGCAUUUGCCGACAAUCUAGCGCUCCCAUAGGCUGCUCUGUAUCACGUGACCCCCUUUCCGCCAUUUUUGUGCAAAGAAAGCCGUGUGUGUAUAUGUCAGUGCAUUCUAUAUAGUCAACAAAGUGUAAUUAUUGCAAUUUUUUGUCAAUAUGACGGGCUGUUGUGCAGUUAAAUAUAAAGGGAAAUCAAAAGCGCGAUUGUUUACCAUUCCAUCGGGCAAAAGGAACGAAGAAAGAAGAAAAAUUGGCUUCAUAGAAUAGAGAGAAAAAAUUUUGUUGCGACGAGAUCGACAAGGCUCUGCAUGGUAAGACCUCAGUGAAGUUAGCACCAACUUCUAG
rnacentral:lncRNA from 1 species